rnacentral:lncRNA from 1 species
UUGAAAACAGCUCGUUCAAUCUCCGACUCAGUGAAAGGAAGAAGGGAAACUGGUCUGUAGUUCUCUAAAAGAGAUGGGUUGAGGGUGGGUUUCUUAAGUAGUGGAGUUAUACGAGCCUGUCUAAAUGAUGAGGGGAAAACACCAGUGUGGAGGGAUAUGUUGAUGUGAGUGAGUGCAGGUACAACUGCAGGAGAAAUGGCUUGAAGGAGAUGAGAUGGAAUAGGAUCAAAGCGGACAAGUAGUAGGAUGAUUAGAAAGGAUGAGUUUGGAGACUUCUGCCUCAGAGAGUGAAGAGAAGGAUGUGAAUGAGUGUAUGUUUGUUUGUGAGAUGUGCUUGAUGGAUUGUGGUGUGGAAAAUUGUGCACUGAUGUUUUUAAUUUUAUUAAUGAAAAAUGUGGCAAAGUCAUCAGCUAUUAGAGUUGAUGCAGGAGGGGGUCACUUACCCCUUUGUGUGGUUGGGAGGCCGUCUCCUCCGUUUCUCCGUCCCAGUCCGGGUACGCGCACUUUUGCAAACGAGAGGGAGUGACGUCAUCAGGUGUUUCCCAACUGCGCUGUCUAGGCUCCGCCUUGCCCGCAUUCUCCACCACUGUGGCGGGACGAGCCAACGACAGACACAGUGGCGUGGCGUCAGGCCUCGGAGAGGUUUUUAUUUAACAGAAACAACCAAAACAAGGGGGAAUAAAGUGUCCAAAAGGGGAACAGUGUCCAAAACAACAGGGAAUCUGGUGUCCUCGUCGUGCUGCGGGGUUCGUGGGGGUCUGGCAGUGUUCACGGAGGGAAGGGUCCAGGUAAGGGGCGGAGUCCCUCAACGCACCCUUCCUGGACCCACGAGGACACCAGUGUGCAUGCACGGGGAAGAGACCGGUCUCCCGAGGAGAGGCGCGUUGGGCUUUUAAACAGCGGCGGUGAUGAGGCUCCAUUUCCUUCAGGUGUGCCCCAUCACACGCCGCCAGCCCUGACUCGUCCAGCGCCCCUCCUCUCUCCCACACCCACUCCUAUCGGGAGCCUGGUGAAGGGCGGCGAUUUAGGACGGGGUGCCGGUGAGUUAUCAGGGAGGAGGCAGCUGACUCGUCACACGGGCUAAGUUAUCAUACACAUGCGCAACAAAUGCUUAACAUAUUUAAACAUUCUCAUUACUCAGUAAUUCAUUAUACUGGGUGUUAGUUUUUUCUAGAGUAGGCUAUACUCUGAUCGAUGGUGCAUUUGAUGAAUUCAUUACACAAAAUGUAUCUUGCGAAGUGAAAUGCAUGCAAUUACCAACCAAAUAAUACACACAUUCUUUCUAUGAGGGUUGCGCUUCACUAAAUAAAAUGAUUUAAUAAAUACCUGUUUACAAAAAGCACUUAUUCGCACGUACACAGGACAAAGUAUGAGUUGCACGUAAUAUCUGAGGGAGCACAGAGCCAUAAUCACUAUAUAUAUAAUGGAGAGCAAGCCCGCUGUAAGCCGAGAGAUUCGUGCUGGCACCCUCUCGUAUUACAGUAAUAAACUCUCGACAUUUGGCAUUAAAAUAAUGCCAAAAACUGUCUCAAAUGAACUAUAAAUACAAGAAUAAAGUUGUAAAAGCUGCAAUCCAUUUCUUAUUGGUUAAAAUUAAUAAAAACUAUCUUGUGUUUUUCACAAGCACCCACGGUAUCGGCUCCUAUGGCAUUUAAAAUGAAUGUUGUUUGUAACGAUCAUCACUAUAAUUAAUUUUUUUAUAUACAUAUAUAUUCAUUUGUUUUUGUUCUGUUAUGAAUGCCACAAAAUUUAAAUGAUUUGGAGUGAGAGGAAGUACAAUUCAUGUUAGUUUAUAAUGCCCCCCCCCCCCAACAUUCAUUUUAUUUAGACCUAUUCAGUAUUUAAAUUCUUUCUGAAAGUAAUAGUAAAAUGCAACUUACAUGCCGAUGCAACUUAUGCUUUUGUUUUGUUUUUCCCCCCCCUGACCUGGUGCAACUUUCCAGAAAAUAUGGAAAAUUUAAUUAUAUUAUGCUGAUGUAUUUAAAAGUACAUAUACAAUGGGGACCAUUUGCACCAAUAAAACAUUUAUAUUAUGUUCAUUCCUCCUACCCACAUGCCUUAAACACUGU